AAAACUCUCCAACUAAUUUAAUAAGUAAGAAAGCUGAUGUGACUUUACUAACCAUGCUGGAUGUAUGAGGAAUUCUUCUCAAAGCAUGAAGAACUACCAAGAAAACCCUUAAAUAUUCAGAAUAAAGGAAGAAUGUGACAGCAUAAGCCAAGAUAUUCUGAUGAUCUAUUGGAAAAUCCAAGAGGGGAUCAUACUGCUGUCAUCCAAACAACCCUACAGGGAUCAGGAAGAAGCUUAAAAUUCCUAGGAACUCUGAGUUUACAGGAGUAGAGAAACACAACCAGAAUUUAGGUAUUCAUAUGUGCAUGUUUUCACUAGGUUGAAAUUAAGAUUGCAACUUCUGUUUCAAUGGUAACCCAGUAGCCUCCUAAAAGAACAUUUUUCAGGUUCCCCAGAAUUUGUAUAUUUUACUGUCCCUUUUCUUAAGUGCUAUAUAACUACCAACAUGAAGAAAAAUUUACUUACUGCCUCUGCUACAGCCUUUCACUGGAGAGAAAGACAGGGACAUUGUAUUUAUUUCAGUUAGAGCAUAUUUGUGACUGUAACAAAAUAAAACUUACAUGACUGAAUAAUUUUACUGCUGCCAGUAGGAUUAGUUUCACCACAGUUCAAUUAAUUAUGCCAGUUUCACUCUUCUAUUGCUACAAACUAUUUGUCUAGCUUAAAUUCCAUGUUUGCUACUGGUGGACUUUUUAUUAGGUCUAUUUUAUAUAUAGAUAAAUAGACGGUCAGAGAGGAUUAGUGAUUUGCCUAAGGCUGAACAACUCUCACCACUAUAUAAUUCAAAAAUAAGAAAAAUAAGAAAAUAUAAGAAAAUAUAUGUAUCAUUCUCUUCACUUGGAACAGUCACAGAGAGAAAUCUCAAAUUUCUGUAGCAUUUUGAAAGUCCCGUGGACUCAGACAGAUUGAAAUGGAAAGAAAGAAUAGUGGGGAAGGAAACACUCCCACAUGAUGAAGGAAAAUUUACUAUUUGAUUAGGAUUUAGGCUGUUUUCAUAUUGCUCUGAAAAUCAAAACCAGAAUUCUAUAUGCUGUAAUUAUCAUUCCUGCAUUAGAAUAGAUUUUUUUUAAUCAGAUUUUCAUAAAUUAUUCAUUUAGAUAUUUUUGACCAAGUUCAAUCAAUAAAGCUACUUUACUAAGACUGAGAUUCAAAUAUCACAGUUCAGUAGGAAUAUUAGCAAAAGUUGACUCAUUCUGGUUCCUUCCAAACUGCUUCAAAAUUCAUAUGUUCAACAACAUUUGUCUAGAAUAUGAUUAUUUGCUUUUAUUAUCCCAUUAUUAUUAUGUUAUAAUUAUCCAUUAAAUCACUCUUCUUCCUUUAGUAAUGUCAUUAUUUAACUUAGAGGAAUCUUCUUCGUGAUUUAUCAUGAUUGGAAUCUUUUCUUGUAAAUGCUGCUAUCUUACUAGGUCUUCUCUCCUACUCCAGAUUCCCACCAAGCUUUACAAUAAUGGUUGUUUGAAUUGUUUUGAUUCCUUCAGACCUGAGGCUUCAUGUCUGAAUCAAAGGAUAAUUCAAAGUGAAAAGAAUCCUAACAAUAAACUGAUCUUCAGUUUCUGCAUGUGAUCAUCAAGUUAUCUGUCAUUCUUUACAUGCAAAGUACUUAUCUCUUCCAUACCUCCUGCAUUAAAUUUGUAUUUCUCAAAAAUUCAGUAUUUUGUCUACAGUUAAUUCCCUCAUUUCCUUUUCUUGUAAUAAAUUAUGCUGACUAUUUGUGCAAAGUGUGAUCUCAGUUUACAGUCCAUUUCCUUUUGACUUUCCAUUUGUUACAUAUUAUUCAAUUAGACUGAAUAAACUAAUGUUCAAUCUGACCAAUUUCAGCACCAUUUCAGGACAACUGUAGAAGAUUAAGACACUGCUAACCCAAAUCAUACCUUACCUGUAGUAUGAGUAAUUAAUUUCACUUAAAUCUGAUGAGAUGAUAAGCAAGGACUCUGAUGAGAAAUUUAACUUCUGAUCCUCUCUUUGUCUCACUUGUCUUCUAGUAGAUGUUUGCCUACAUUAAGAUGUGUUGCAAGACUUCUAAUUACAGUAAUCACAGGGGAGAGUUUUGGUGUUGUACUUUGCAAAAUAGUUACUCAAGUCCUUCAGGGGACUCAGAGCACAGUGAUGCUGUUCAGAAGAAUCUGGACAAGCUUAUGAAAUGGUCCUCUUCCUGGGCUGGAGCAAUCCUGGUUUCAAUACAGUUUGAGGGGUGAAGUAAUUGAAAGCCCUCUGGAGGAAGACUGGAGAAGGACUUGGGGGUCUUGGUGAAUGAAAAGCUGGACAGAAGCCCAGUGUGUCCACAAUUGUAUGGGUGCACUCACAGCCCAGAAAACCAAACAUAUCCAUGGCUGCAUCAAAACCAGCACAACCUGCAGGCCAAGAGAGGUGAUUGUCCCCCUCUACUGUACUUCUAUGUGUUCCCAGCUGACAUAUUGUACUUAUCUCUACAGCUUUCAGCACAGACAUAGGCGUGUUAGAAUGCGUCCAGAGGAGGACCUGCAAAAUGAUUGGAAGAAUGAAACAACUCUCUUGUGAGGAGAGGCUGAGAGGGCUGGGGUUGCUCCGCCUGGAAAAGGUUCUGUGAGACCUUAUUCUGUCCUUUGAAUACUUCAAAAGGAUGUAUAAGUAAGAUGAAAACAGACUUUUUAGUAUGGCCUGCUGUGACAGCACAAAAGAUAAUGGUUUUAAACUUAAAGAGGGUAGAUUUAGACUAGAUACAAAGAGUAAGCUUUUUGUAAUGGUGGUGAAACACAAAAACAGGUUGCCCAGGGAAGUGGUAGAUGUCCCAUCUCUAGAAACAGUCAAUCAAGGUCUAGUUGGUCAAGUUUCUGUGCUACCUGAGGUAGUUUGAGAUGUUACUGCUUCUUGCAUUACUUGCUACAUGACCUGUAAUGGUUCCUUCCAAACUGAAAUAAUCUAUCAUUCUAGGGUUCUGUGAUUGUCUGAUUUUAUAUGUGUUAUUUCAAUAAAUAUAAGUUUUCCAUUUGCUUUCUUCA